rnacentral:tRNA from 2 species
CGGGCUGUAGCGCAGUUUGGCUAGCGCGCCUGCUUGGGGUGCAGGAGGCCGCAGGUUCAAGUCCUGUCAGCCCGACCA